UUGGUGGCGACCGGCGCACGGGUGAGUAACGCGUAUGCAACCCACCUAUCAGAGGGGGAUAACCCGGCGAAAGUCGGACUAAUACCGCAUAAAACAGGGGCACCGCAUGGUGAUAUUUGUUAAAAAUUUAUUGCUGAUAGAUGGGCAUGCGUUCCAUUAGGUAGUUGGAGAGGUAACGGCUCACCAAGCCUACGAUGGAUAGGGGAACUGAGAGGUUGGUCCCCCACACUGGUACUGAGACACGGACCAGACUCCUACGGGAGGCAGCAGUGAGGAAUAUUGGUCAAUGGGCGAGAGCCUGAACCAGCCAAGUCGCGUGAAGGAAGAAGGAUCUAUGGUUCGUAAACUUCUUUUGCAGGGGAAUAAAGUGCAGGACGUGUCCUGUUUUGUAUGUACCCUGAGAAUAAGGAUCGGCUAACUCCGUGCCAGCAGCCGCGGUAAUACGGAGGAUCCGAGCGUUAUCCGGAUUUAUUGGGUUUAAAGGGUGCGUAGGUGGUUUAAUAAGUCAGCGGCGAAAGUUUGCAGCUUAACUGUAAAAAUGCCGUUGAAACUGUUAGACUUGAGUGUAAAUGAGGUAGGCGGAAUGCGUGGUGUAGCGGUGAAAUGCUUAGAUAUCACGAAGAACUCCGAUUG
rnacentral:rRNA from 1 species